rnacentral:rRNA from 1 species
GAUUAACGCUGGCGGCGUGCAUGAGACAUGCAAGUCGAACGGACGAUCGGGCUUGCUCGAUCGUUAGUGGCGGACGGCUGAGUAACGCGUGAGUGACCUGCCCCGAAGUGGGGAAUAACUGCCCGAAAGGGUGGCUAAUACCGCAUGUGGUGACUGGUUCGUUCCAGUCUCCACAGCCGCAAGGCGCUUCGGGAGGGGCCUGCGUCCGAUUAGCUCGUUGGUGGGGUAACGGCUCACCAAGGCGACGAUCGGUAGGUGGUCUGAGAGGACGAUCACCCAGACUGGGACUGAGACACGGCCCAGACUCCUACGGGAGGCAGCAGUCGGGAAUUUUGCUCAAUGGGCGAAAGCCUGAAGCAGCAACGCCGCGUGAGGGAUGACGGCCUUCGGGUUGUAAACCUCUUUUCUCAGGGACGAUAGUGACGGUACCUGAGGAAUAAGCCACGGCUAACUACGUGCCAGCCGCCGCCGUAAAAC